GGAUGUGUGGGCAAUCUGGCAGCGACAUCUGUCCCCCCUUGAUCUCAGGGGGUUGAUUCGGCUUAUCUGCCUGUAACUAGGCAGGUGUCGCCUUUCUCCCUCAAUGCCCCAUGUGCGUUCCUCCCGAAGCUGCGCGCUUGGUGGAAGAGGACUACCACCCUGAUACAAGAGGACCAUUCCUCAGAAGUAGCUGCGCUCCCCUGCUUGAACCUCCAACAAGCUCUCAAGACUAGACUCUCAAGACUCUCAGGUUGUGUUGCAGUCCAUAUUUCCCUAUUUAAUUUGGAUAAUA
rnacentral:snRNA from 1 species